CCUGAGUGCAGCAGGAAAAGCUGAGUUGGGCUCAAACAGGUUUAGAUUGGUGCAGAAACGCAAAGCCUGGAGCGUUUUGAAACAUGGCAUGUCGGGCUGAGCUAAACAGCAAUGAAAGGUGCAGCACUCCCAGUCUACACAGACCAUCAGGGUGUUUACGUGGCGCAGGCAGAGGGAUUGCUCCGGGGCUGCAGGCGCAGGAAAGGUCAACAAUUAAUUAUUGAACAGAUGGGACAGUUUUGCCUGCAUCUUCCUAUAAUUUGACCGUGACCAGGUGGUGACUGUCUUGAAUCUGUCUGUGAUCUGCAGUUAGUGUCUGUCACUGAAUAAUUCUUGACCCUUGAAACAUUUGCAUGCUGUAAAUGGAUGAGAAAUCCAAGCCUGUGCCCUUUGACAGCGCUCCAGAGGUCACGUUGGUGUCUGCUCCUCUCCCUGACCCUUCAAAGUGGAGCAGCCAGAAUCUGGACCGGUCCCUCCAGGCACGGUGAUGAAUGGUGUGAUCAAACAGGAUCGCUCGGACCACAAAAGUGCACCAGCUGGGAAUGAAGAGGAAAAGGCACCCAAGGAAAAGUCUGCCAGCGAAGUGAGAGAUGGCACCAAGCUCCAGCCCCCGCCCUUCGCAGAGCGGAAGAACGUGAGUUCCAGGGAGCUGUCAACUGCUGAACAUUUGAACAACCAGGGCCUCCCAAAGGGAAAUAACAUCUUCGGAAUGGCCAGGCUCAAGAAAACACCACAUCUUAGAUGAUGUAUUGAUGGGGAAAAAUAAAUUCAGAAGAGAAUUUGGUGCUUUGCCGAGCAAUGUCCUGAAGAUAAGCUUGUACCAGUUCUUCAGUCACGCACUAAUGAUCUUCAGUUCAUUGUAUGUUAUAAAUCACUCUGAUGGAUACAGAAAAGGGUAAUAAAUGAAUAAAUAAAUAGCAAACACUCUGUGGAUAGUGCUGAUCAUAGGAAGAUGAAUUAAUCAUAAACACUGCUUCCAAAGGCUGUGACACGAAUGAGCAUUCCUUUGAUAUCAGCCGUGCUCUUCUUCCCACCAACUUGUUCUCAAAUAAACAUCCCGGUAAAUAUUUGUCUCCUUGCUCUAGUAUUGCAAAUAAAAUGAGAAAGGCCACAUCCCUUCCUAGCCCAUGGAUAGCAAUUCCCUUAGGGGGAUGCUGGAUUUCGGGUUGGGAUUCACCUCAGCCCGCUUCAGUCAGCUUCUAGCUUGUCAUCUCAGUCUAGAGUGGGGUCUCUGGGCUCCCUUCAGAGCUGCUCUUCCAAUUUGCCACCCUCCAGUUCUUGCAAUCUCUUUAAUCUCUUUUAAUCUCUUGUAUGGCUUCAGUGUCUGAUGUCCCACCCCAGUGCUCUCUCCCCUAGAAGGUGCCCCAGGAAUUUUGAUGCCUCACUGCAGCACAUCCUGCACCAGGGCCUUUCAGCUGAAGUGAUUUCCAGCCUGCUGGUGGUACCACAAUCACCUGCAGCCUGAGCCCUGGCCCUGCCUGGUGCCCUCCUGUGCUGCUGUGCCACUUCAGCACACCAGAACCAGAGCCCUGGGAGUGGCAGCACGAAGCCCCAGCUCUCUGGGAUGAUGCUCCAAGGCUCAUCACGGGCCAUCAGCAGGGAACAGGGGUUGCUUUGCUGCACUGUGCCCUGCCCUGCACCAGUGAGUCACACAGGGCUGAGUGAGGCAGGGAUGAGCCUUCUGGGAUGCUGGGAUGGCUCUCUUGGUCUCAGGACAAGCCUUCCUAAUAGGGCUCACUGCCUCUAUCUGCUGUCAUAAGAUUGCAAACUCUAAUUUCAUUCUCUGCCUGCUCUCCUUCCUAGGUGAAGUCCAUUCAUUAUUUUUAACUGUAUCCAUAACCCUUCCUUAUCUGCAAGCCCUGCUGUUCCUUCUGCACAGGCUGAUGACAUGACUGCAUGUGUUCUGUUCUCCUGGUAGCUUGUCUGAGCACAAACCCUCUUGCUGCUCCCUUUCCCUGUUCCCAUCUGCAGCAGCCAGGUGCCCUGAGGAGGCAUUUCUGACUCGUGGCUCUGCCCUGGUAUCUCCUUCCUCAGGCUGCAGAGGGGUCAGCAGCCUGCCCUACUAACACCCACACCAAAACAUCCUGCUUCCUGCAGCAGCGUGAGUGACUUGGCCAUCUCUCACCUGCUGAGCCUUGGGAAUCCCUUGGCAACUCCAGCCCACAAGCAGCCUGCAAUGGACACCACACCCCAGCCUCAUCUUCAAGCUGUUGCUCCCAGAAUCAGCUUCAUCCUUACUGGAUUUGAAGCCUAAAUUCUCAUAUGUCGAAAGCCAAAUU
rnacentral:lncRNA from 1 species